AUGUCAUGGCCCUGCGCGAGUGACAAGAGGCUAGUGCGCUUAUAGGCUAGCCUGCAGCACCCCGAACGGGCCACUGUUGCCUCGAACAGUGCGCCACUGUUGCCUUGUGCAGUUGAGGAGAUCUUCUUCCCUCAUUUUUUGUGUCAAGCAUCUUUUUCCUUUCUCUCUUCAUCGGAUUUUGCCACUUGGCACGAAUCUGACGGUUCCUAAUUUUUAUAA
rnacentral:lncRNA from 1 species